GACGAACGCUGGCGGCGUGCUUAACACAUGCAAGUCGAACGGAAAGGCCCUGCUUUUGUGGGGUGCUCGAGUGGCGAACGGGUGAGUAACACGUGAGUAACCUGCACUUGACUGUGGGAUAACUUCAGGAAACUGGGGCUAAUACCGGAUAGGAGCUCCUGCUGCAUGGUGGGGGUUGGAAAGUUUCGGCGGUUGGGGAUGGACUCGCGGCUUAUCAGCCUGUUGGUGGGGUAGUGGCUUACCAAGGCUUUGACGGAUAGCCGGCCUGAGAGGGUGACCGGCCACAUUGGGACUGAGAUACGGCCCAGACUCCUACGGGAGGCAGUAGUGGGGAAUAUUGCACAAUGGGCGGAAGCCUGAUGCAGCAACGCCGCGUGCGUGAUGACGGCCUUCGGGUUGUAAACCGCUUUCGCCUGUGACGAAGCGUGAGUGACGGUAAUGGGUAAAGAAGCACCGGCUAACUACGUG
rnacentral:rRNA from 1 species